AUGCAAGUCGAACGGUGAAGCAGAGCUUGCUCUGUGGAUCAGUGGCGAACGGGUGAGUAACACGUGAGCAACCUGCCCCGGACUCUGGGAUAAGCGCUGGAAACGGCGUCUAAUACUGGAUAYGAGCUGCGACCGCAUGGUCAGCAGUUGGAAAGAUUUUUCGGUCUGGGAUGGGCUCACGGCCUAUCAGCUUGUUGGUGAGGUAAUGGCUCACCAAGGCGUCGACGGGUAGCCGGCCUGAGAGGGUGACCGGCCACACUGGGACUGAGACACGGCCCAGACUCCUACGGGAGGCAGCAGUGGGGAAUAUUGCACAAUGGGCGAAAGCCUGAUGCAGCAACGCCGCGUGAGGGAUGACGGCCUUCGGGUUGUAAACCUCUUUUAGCAGGGAAGAAGCGAGAGUGACGGUACCUGCAGAAAAAGCGCCGGCUAACUACGUGCCAGCAGCCGCGGUAAUACGUAGGGCGCAAGCGUUAUCCGGAAUUAUUGGGCGUAAAGAGCUCGUAGGCGGUUUGUCGCGUCUGCUGUGAAAUCCCGAGGCUCAACCUCGGGCCUGCAGUGGGUACGGGCAGACUAGAGUGCGGUAGGGGAGAUUGGAAUUCCUGGUGUAGCGGUGGAAUGCGCAGAUAUCAGGAGGAACACCGAUGGCGAAGGCAGAUCUCUGGGCCGUAACUGACGCUGAGGAGCGAAAGGGUGGGGAGCAAACAGGCUUAGAUACCCUGGUAGUCCACCCCGUAAACGUUGGGAACUAGUUGUGGGGUCCAUUCCACGGAUUCCGUGACGCAGCUAACGCAUUAAGUUCCCCGCCUGGGGAGUACGGCCGCAAGGCUAAAACUCAAAGGAAUUGACGGGGACCCGCACAAGCGGCGGAGCAUGCGGAUUAAUUCGAUGCAACGCGAAGAACCUUACCAAGGCUUGACAUAUACGAGAACGGGCCAGAAAUGGUCAACUCUUUGGACACUCGUAAACAGGUGGUGCAUGGUUGUCGUCAGCUCGUGUCGUGAGAUGUUGGGUUAAGUCCCGCAACGAGCGCAACCCUCGUUCUAUGUUGCCAGCACGUAAUGGUGGGAACUCAUGGGAUACUGCCGGGUCACUCGGAGGAAGGUGGGGAUGACGUCAAUCAUCAUGCCCCUUAUGUCUGGGCUUC
rnacentral:rRNA from 1 species